rnacentral:rRNA from 1 species
GCCGCGGUAUACGAAGGGGCUACGUUGCUCGGAAUCACUGGGCGUAAGGGCGCGUAGCGGCUUGCCAAGUCGGGGGUGAAAGCCCGUGGCUCAACCACGGAAUGGCCUUCGAUACUGGCAGGCUUGAGACCGGAAGAGGACAGCGGAACUGCGAGUGUAGAGGUGAAAUUCGUAAUAUUCGCAAGAACACCAGUGGCGAAGGCGGCUGUCUGGUCCGGUUCUGACGCUGAGGCGCGAAAGCGUGGGGAGCAAACAGGAUUAAUACCCUGGUA